rnacentral:rRNA from 1 species
GUGGGGAAUCUUGCGCAAUGGGCGAAAGCCUGACGCAGCCAUGCCGCGUGAAUGAUGAAGGUCUUAGGAUUGUAAAAUUCUUUCACCGGGGACGAUAAUGACGGUACCCGGAGAAGAAGCCCCGGCUAACUUCGUGCCAGCAGCCGCGGUAAUACGAAGGGGGCUAGCGUUGCUCGGAAUUACUGGGCGUAAAGGGCGCGUAGGCGGACAGUUUAGUCAGAGGUGAAAGCCCAGGGCUCAACCUUGGAAUUGCCUUUGAUACUGGCUGUCUUGAGUACGGGAGAGGUGAGUGGAACUCCGAGUGUAGAGGUGAAAUUCGUAGAUAUUCGGAAGAACACCAGUGGCGAAGGCGACUCACUGGCCCGUUACUGACGCUGAGGCGCGAAAGCGUGGGGAGCAAACAGGAUUAGAUACCCGGGGUAGUCC